rnacentral:ncRNA from 2 species
UGUUUAUCUCAGGGCAGGGUGAAAGUCCCUACCGGCGGUAACAUGAAAUGUUAAAUAGGCAUUUUAUGCAGCCCGCGAGCGCUCUGUUUGUCAUUCCCCCUUGAUGGUUUUUUACGUUUUCUCAAUGUGUUAAGGAAUUAAGGGUCAAAGCAGAGGUCAGCAGAUCCAGUGUGAUUCUGGAGCCGACGGUGAUAGUCCGGAUGGGAGAGAAUAACA